rnacentral:rRNA from 1 species
CCUACGGGGGGCAGCAGUGAGGAAUAUUGCCCAAUGGGGGAAACCCUGAGGCAGCAACGCCGCGUGAACGACGAAGACCUUCGGGUUGUAAAGUUCUUUUCUGAAGGAAGAUAGUGACGGUACUUCAGGAAUAAGCUCCGGCUAACUACGUGCCAGCAGCCGCGGUAAAACGUAGGGGGCAAGCGUUAUCCGGAUUUACUGGGCGUAAAGCGCCCGUAGGCGGACAGGCAAGUUGGACGUGAAAGCUCCUGGCUUAACUGGGAGAGGUCGUUCAAGACUGCCUAUCUAGAGGUUGGCAUAGGUGGGUGGAAUUCCCGGUGUAGUGGUGGAAUGCGUAGAUAUCGGGAGGAAGACCAGUGGCGAAAGCGACCCGCUGGGUCAAACCUGACGCUGAGGGGCGAAAGCGUGGGGAGCGAACGGGAUUAGAUACCCCGGUAGUC